AGACAUUGGAUAGCACUCUAUUCUGUUUCCAGUGUGAAUUUGCUUCCUACAAUUCCCUCUGCACAGCUCUGUGUGUACAAAGCAAAGUGACCUGCACCAAUAAAUAAAAGGGCUGCCUUUGUAUCCUGGCUCCCAUGUUAUUCUGUUACACUGAGAGACGUCUCCCGCCAGUGCGCAUUGUAAAGAUUUUUCAGAAAAUGGAAGGACAUCAACAACUGCACCAGAUCUCUUUUAAGAGAAAACAUAGGAAAUCAAAGCAUCCUGUUUUCUUGAAGUUAAUGCAGAAUCUAUCUCUUGGAAUGAUGUAAUGCGUGUUACAUCACUGGCAUGGAGAAAGCUGUAGCUAUCAUCAUCAUUAUUUUUUUGGCUGUCAAACUUGUGCGAAAACAACACAGCGGUGAAGACAAACAUCAUAUAUGUCUGUUCUUUUGAGUAUGAAGAACACGCAAGGGACAGAAAGCUUAUAUCGGCAUUAAGGUAUUAAAGAAAAAGCUUGGUAAUGAAGGUACUGAGAAGACAUCACCAUCCAGCUGAAGGCUAAUCUAGUCUACAGAACAUGAAUCCACUGCUGAGCUUCUGAAUUUGUUAAUCCAUACUUCUCUGUAUAACAGAAUUAUAUGCAACGUGUUGGUAGUAAGAGAUGAUCUUUACUUAUAGUAACUAUGUGAUUUUACCUAGGCUUUUUCAUUGUGCUUCUCCACUCUUUGUAAAAUGACCCCAUAUAACAUAAAAUGAAAAUUUUUGGACUAUCACAGAAUAUCACUACAGCAUAAUAUGUGGUUGUAUCAAUCGAAGCUGCUUGGCAAUAGAACAGCAGUUCUGUUGUGGCAUCUUAUAUUUUUUAGGCAUUACAUUCGGCAGUGGUAUAUGGCAAUUACAUAUGAGGAAAGGAGGGUAAGAAAUAAGCCUCUUUGCGGACAUCAGUCUCUUGCCAAAUAAAACCAAUAAACCUGUUUUGUAAACAAAAGGCCAUUCAGCAUUGAACGAAUGAAACAAGAAUGAAUAUAAUAAACUCUGAGUUAUUGGAUAACCACCAAUGAUUCUGGGGUUGAACGUGGACUAAGAUGGUUUUGAUAAACACUAUAUUAAUUUGGUAUGUUUCUCAAUACCCACACUCAGUGUUUGUUAAGGGGAAAAAAUUAUUUAUGUGAAAACCAGAUUUUGAAUUCAUUGCAGAAUUAUGUUUGGGAAGUAAUGACCAACCUAGACUCUUAAAAUUUCAUGUCGGACGGACUCCGCUCCGCAACUACUGCCCCUCCCCCUAUAUCCCCCCCCCCUCUUUUUUCCCCCUCUUCUUUCUUUUCUCCUUUCCCCUGGACCCACGUCCCCUUAAAGAAACCGUUCUAUUCCUUUAUUUUCUUCCUUCCUACAUAGCACUGGACCCUUUGGUUUCCAGUUCUUCGUCUCCUACACAACUUCUCUAUCAAUCGCACCACACUCUUUUACCGCUCUCAUAGAGACAUUUUUUGUAUUUGUAACCAUUCUGGCUUUACAGCCUCCUGUUUACUGUUUAUACACUAGCAGUUGAAUUAUAUGUUUCUAUCAUAAAAUAAAAAUUUAUAUGAUGAAAAAAAAAUAUUUCAUGUCGGAAAUGAGAGACGGCUAUCGCAGAGAGAGCGCAGUUAGCUUGGAAAUGGGAUCAAUAUUUGCAGUGUGCGGCACAAUGAAGGAGUGCUGGGCUUUUCACGAACAGCAACAUCAAAUCUUUUGUUUUUUAUCGUUAUCCUGAAAAGCUUUCUGCUCUGAUGCUUGUGUAAAAAUAUAAUUAGGGUUGUAUAAUCCACAAAGUAGCACGCUGGAGAGGUUAAGUUUAAAAUCUGUUAAUGUUAACUGCUGUUUAACUAAUAUAAGUGCAAAAUUGGUAACUCAAUAUAUUAGAGAUGUUUUGGUUUUGCAAA